rnacentral:lncRNA from 1 species
AUGCUCUGCUUGGAGCCAGUAUCUCUUCAGUCUGAAUACUGGGUGAAACUAAGGUAUGUUACAUGGCAAGAAGGAAAGCUUCAUGUGCCUUUAUUUAUCUAUCUAUUUAUUUAUUUAUUUUCCCAGCCAUACUACCAAAUGCUUUUGGCUUGGAUAGCUGGAGACCUGUUUUGGUCCUUCACUGGAUGGCUUCCCUUGCCCACUCUUCUUCCUGGUUGUCUUCAGCUGUGCACAGAAGAAAGGUGCUGUAAAGACAUAGAUAUAAAGAGGAAGAUGUGCGUGCUUUAUCUCCAUUGGUGUUUGGAGUGGGAUGAAGCAGAAGAUAGGAGCAGCUUCAACAGAAUUCUGCAUCAUAGUGCUGAUGACUCAAUCCUUCUCAGUUCCCAAGAAAAGCACAAAGGUCAACUUCUGUGCCUUCCCAAAAAUUUAGAAAACUGCCACACAGAUCUGUGAAGCUCAGGAUAUGAACUGCAAACGAGAGAUAAGGAACAUCGUAGUGCUUAUCAAGAAUGAUGGAAUUUGAGAUUCUGAGAUGAAG